rnacentral:lncRNA from 1 species
UGUAAUUUUUGUCGUAAUAACGAGUUUUACGACGAUAAAGCUGUGGAUUUGCUUGCGGUUUUGUUUAAUAUCUUUAGAAUGCUGUAGUAGCAAAAAGAGUUUACGGGGCUCGAUAUCCAAAUCGGCGUUCAAGUGAUGUGACAGUUUUUCCCCAAUUAGUCGUUAACUUACGAGCCAAUGGUGGUUUUCGGCCUACAUUUCAACAGCAACGAAUCGGAAAAACCCAAAAAAAUAUUAACUACAUACUGGGAUACACUCAAGCCUCAUGCUAAAACAAGAUCAUUAUUCCUUGAAGUUGGCAUAUCGGGAACAACGGUUGAAAAUAUUUUGAAAAAACAAAGGGAUGUUUAAAUGACCGUCACAAUAUACUGACUUAUAUAAAUUUAACAAAUAUUUAUUGUAAUUUUUACUAGUAAUUUUAGAAUGCACCGAUUUUGCAUCAGGUCUUAAAAGAGAAAGACUUUGUUCGGAGGUUGGACUAUCCCAUAUAGCACAAAUCUAUCCAAUUAAUAUCCAUUGGAUAUCAUCUUUUGAAUAAAGGAACUGUCCGAUAGAUAUCCAUGUAGGGACAGAAGUAUUCACUGGAUAUCAAGCGGAUAUUAGGAAUGAUAGUCAUGUAAAUCCUAUUGGACACCAUUUGUGGAUACCCGCUAGAUUUCAAUAUCGGAUAUUUAGUGUUACGGUUUUUGCUCGGGAGCAAUAAAUGCAAAAACCUAUCCAGUGGUGGAUAUUCUCUGGAUACCAAGCGACAAUUCCUUAAAUCCUGUUGGAUACCAUAUGGGCGCUUAAUGAACAUUUUUGGAUCAAGCCGAAUUUUGAAUAUUGUGCUUUAAUCUCUUGACCCCUACCAACUUAGUUUUUCCUUAAGGCACCCUACUUAAUUGUCAUUUAUAUAAAGUAUAAAAAGUAAUGGGCCUAGAAUGGAUCCUUGGGGAACACCUCUUGUUAAAUCGGCUGGCGCAGAGAAUGAAUUACCCACCCUUGUUAUCUGCGAUCUAUUCGCCAGGUAAUUACUGGAAAAACACACAGCUUUCGGUAAGAAACCAUAAAAAAGAGCUUCGCCAAAAGCAAAUUAUGUUGGAGAGUGUCGAAGGCCUUGCUGAAAUCUAACAAAACUAAAGCUGUUGUCUCGUCCUUAUCGUAAGCAUCAAUAAUAUCGUUCAAGACUCUAAGAAGAGCUGAGGUAGUACUAAAACCACGACGAAAUCCUGACUGCGAUUCCGAAAGCAAAUUAGUGUACCAAAGACUGUAGAGAAGCAACUUUGUUAUAAUCUUAAGAUCUAUUUGCAAUAGGUUAUAAUAUUUAUAAGAUUAAAUUAUUGUUAUUAUUAAAUUAAGUACCAUAUAUUAUAUCUAUUGUAAAAUUGAGGCUCU